rnacentral:rRNA from 1 species
UUGUCUCAAAGAUUAAGCCAUGCAUGUCUCAGUACAAGCCAAAUUAAGGUGAAACCGCGAAAGGCUCAUUAAAUCAGUUAUGGUUCCUUAGAUCGUACCCACAAUUACUUGGAUAACUGUGGUAAUUCUAGAGCUAAUACAUGCAAACAGAGCUCCGACCGGAGACGGAAGGAGUGCUUUUAUUAGAUCAAAACCAAUCGGUGGCGGGUUGGUGACUCUGAAUAACUUUACGCUGAUCGCACGGUCUUCGCACCGGCGACGCAUCUUUCAAAUGUCUGCCUUAUCAACUGUCGAUGGUAGGUUCUGCGCCUACCAUGGUUGUAACGGGUAACGGGGAAUCAGGGUUCGAUUCCGGAGAGGGAGCCUGAGAAACGGCUACCACAUCCAAGGAAGGCAGCAGGCGCGCAAAUUACCC